UACGUAGGGAGCGAGCGUUGUCCGGAUUCAUUGGGCGUAAAGAGCUCGUAGGCGGCUUGAUAAGUCGGAUGUGAAACCUCCAGGCUCAACCUGGAGUCGCCAUCCGAUACUGUCAUGGCUAGAGUCCGGUAGGGGCCCACGGAAUUCCUGGUGUAGCGGUGAAAUGCGCAGAUAUCAGGAGGAACACCUGUGGCGAAAGCGGCUCACUGGACCAUAACUGACGCUGAUGCACGAAAGCUAGGGGAGCAAACAGG
rnacentral:rRNA from 1 species